GGGCUCAUUGCGUAAAUAACCCGAAAAAUCCAAAAACACGCGGAUCGCUUAACAGGAUCGGGUCAAAAUGCGGGCUGAAGGCUGAAAUGCUGUCGUUUUGGCCACUGAAAUCGGGGUUCCAAACGGCACCGUAUAGACAGGUUAUAAAAUCAAAAUUUUGAAAAAAAAAAAGAGAUUAUUUUAUGCCAUUAAAAAAAAAAACAGAAAGCUAUUCUCAGUUUCUCUCUAUGGGCACAGCCCUAGGAUUCGAUUAGGGUCCAUCGGCCGUCCACCGUUGCUAGCGACGGUAACCACCGUCAGUGGUUACCAGAGAGAAACCCGAAGCCUAAACUGAGCCCCUUUUUUACGUAGAAUCAGUUUUAAAACCGAAAGAUUUCAAAAACAAAUGCCAAAACUCUUAAAAAGAAAAAAAAAUAUUGACUCUUGGCCUCCUCCACCGUGACUUCAACCGGAUCCCCUGGGAUCUGACAGUCUUUGGACCAGAAAAGCGAAUGCCGACAAUCCCGAAACCAAACAAUGGGUACAAGGCUACCUGUGUCGUACGAAGGAGGCGACAUGGUGUGCAGUGGUGCGUGGAGGCCGUACGGAGGCUGGGUUGCAGUGCACUUAAGGGUUGGGGCUAGGGUUUCUGUUUGGCUAAACCUAGGUUUAGGUUUUGGGCCACUAGGCCUGGUUUAUUUCAUUCGGAUAUUGGGCCAUUGUAAAUGGGUCUGAAUUUCGGGCUUGUUUUUAUCUUUAGUUUGGGUUCUUUUUAAUUUGGGUUAUGUUUUUGUAAUUGGGCCAAUAUUUGGUAAUUAGUUCUUCGUAUUUAUUUGAUUUAGACUUCUUGAUUUGGGCUCGAGAAGAAUAGGCCUGCUACAAUAUGUAUUAUGUUAGUCUAAAAAACUAGUUGAUAAUAUAAUUAUUAAUAAAAAUAAUAAGAAAAAUACAUACCAUGUGCAAUUUUAUCUAA